rnacentral:rRNA from 1 species
CUACCCGGGUAUCUAAUCCUGUUUGCUCCCCACGCCUUCGAGCCUCAACGUCAGUUGUCGUCCAGUAAGCCGCCUUCGCCUCCGGUGUUCCUCCUAAUAUCUACGCAUUUCACCGCUACACUAGGAAUUCCGCUUACCCCUCCGACACUCAAGCUAUACAGUUUCCAAAGCAGUUCAUGGGUUGAGCCCACGCCUUUCACUUCAGACUUGCAUUGCCGUCUGCGCUCCCUUUACACCCAGUAAAUCCGGAUAACGCUUGCCCCCUACGUAUUACCGCGGCUGCUGGCAC